rnacentral:lncRNA from 1 species
UUCGAAUUAAAAAACAGUUAUCUUCUCUUCCCCCCUAAGCCAACUCUGUUUCUCUCUCUCUCUCUCUCUCUCUCUCUCUCUCUCUCUCUCUCUCUGUCUCUGCUGUAAGGAAAAGAAAAACUAGAAAUUCCAUUUCGUUCUGCAGAAAACAUAAUGGCCUAGCUGUUUCUUGGAUCCGGAGAUUCUGGGUUUCUUUCGAUUAGUUUAAUACUAUUGAACAUAGAGUUAUAAGACUUGGAAAAGAACAUUAACCCACAAGACAUGAUUUGGUUCCUCCCAUUGUCUCUCCCUAGGCUCAAAC